GAAUUAGCGUAGUCACAACUUUCCCAAACCUGAUAGUUGCCAUAUAGGAUUUCUUUAUUUAGUCCAAUGAAGUACUUCAUAUUCGCAUCACUAACAGGGAUGAUGAAGCCAUUAAACGAUUCCUUUAAUCGAAUUCGAUGUGAUGAUCAUUUCAGGAAGCAAUGUCGGCGGGACCCAAAACAAAGAAACUAGGCCUUUGGGAUGAGGAAACAUGUUGAAGAAGGCUACAUCAGAGGUUAAAAUAUGUCUGCAGGGGUUGUUAAAUGUUAGAAGCAGGAUGUCUCAAAAUUAUUUAUCAGAUUAUUUGUGCACCCUUUGUUAUGAUUAUUAAUGUGUCUUCUGCAUUCUUACUGAAAUGCUUUUCUUAAGCAGGAUGGAAUAAACAAAUCGUGAAUUAGUAAGAAAGCAUUGAAAGU